rfam:Bifidobacterium reuteri DSM 23975 Contig07, whole genome shotgun sequence.
AGGGAAGUGGCGCAAUUGGUAGCGCAACGGUCUCCAAAACCGUAGGUUGUGGGUUCGAGUCCCGCCUUCCCUG